rnacentral:pre_miRNA from 1 species
UCAGCCUGUGGUACUCAAACUAUGGGGGCACUUUUUUUUUCUGGAAUAAAGUGCUGGCAGGUUUUGAGUGCUGCCAGUAGA